rnacentral:rRNA from 1 species
UGGUACAGCCCUCCUACCCUGAACAAGCCUGAUCCUGUCUGAUCUUGGAAGCUAAGCAGGGUUGGGCCUGGUUAGUACUUGGAUGGGAGACCACCUAGGAAGACCAGGUGCUGUAGGUG